GCCUUCAUGGUGUAAUGGUCAACACACUCGGCUCGUAUUCGAGAGGUUCGGGUCCUGGCGAGGGCA
rnacentral:tRNA from 1 species